rnacentral:misc_RNA from 1 species
GAACGCACCUUGCGCCCUUUGGCUAUUCUGAAGGGCAUGCCUGUUUGAGUAUCAUGAACACCUCAACUCUCAUGGUUCGCCAUGAUGAGCUUGGACUUUGGGGGUCUUGCUGGCCUACGGUCGGCUCCUCUCAAAUGAAUCAGCUUGCCAGUGUUUGGUGGCAUCACGGGUGUGAUAACUAUCUACGCUUGUGGUUUCCCGCCAGGUAACCUUCAGUGAUGGAGGUUCGCUGGGGCUCAUAAAUGUCCCUCCACAGUGAGGACAGCUUUUGAACGUUUGAUCUCAAAUCAGGUAGGACUACCCGCUGAACUUAAG